ACUUCGCUUCUUUAUGCUAUAUAAAGUACCAAGCCCUCACGCUUUCCUUUGCCAUCACCAAUUUUCUUUCUCUUUUGUCAUCAUUGAUCAUUAGCAUGGGGAAGAAAGCUUUUGUUAGAUUGAUGCUACUUUUCUGAGUUUCUCUUAUCUUCUGCUUUACUGUGCUGCUGUUCCCACAACAAGAACCCUCAAGUCAAAUAAGGAACUACUCCUUUCCUCUUCUUCUGUCCCAGAAUUUCUUGCUCAGGAUGUAAUGAAAUUGAGUGAAGCUGAUCAGGAAUUGUCUGGGGAAGGAGAUGCAUUCAAUGAGGAAAGGAUGCUAAUGGAAGGCACAGAUUAUCCAGGGCCAGGUGCAAACCAUGACCAUGAUCCCAAAGUACCCCCAGGGAGAGCUUAACUAUAAUAAAUUAAUAAAUAAAACAAGCCCUUUAUUUUUACAUAUUUCUUCAAUUAGAACUAUCAUGUCUCUAUUGGUAAUGAAGCAGUAUGGUAUUCA